rnacentral:rRNA from 1 species
UACGGGGGGGGCAAGCGUUGUUCGGAAUUACUGGGCGUAAAGGGUUCGCAGGCGGCCAACUAAGUCGGAUGUGAAAUCCCCAGGCUUAACCUGGGAACUGCAUCCGAUACUGGAUGGCUUGAAUCCGGGAGAGGGAUGCAGAAUUCCAGGUGCAGCGGUGAAAUGCGUAGAUAUCGGGAGGAACACCAGUGGCGAAGGCGACUUCCUGGCCCGUUCUUGACGCUGAGGCGCGAAAGCUAGGGGAGCAAACGGG